rnacentral:tRNA from 1 species
GGCGUCAUGGCCGAGUGGCUAGGCGGAGCUCUGCAAAAGCUUUUACAGCGGUUCGAAUCCGCUUGACGCCUCCA